AUUGAACGCUGGCGGCACGCCUUACACAUGCAAGUCGAACGGUAACAGGUCUUCGGAUGCUGACGAGUGGCGAACGGGUGAGUAAUACAUCGGAACGUGCCUAGUAGUGGGGGAUAACUACUCGAAAGAGUGGCUAAUACCGCAUGAGAUCUACGGAUGAAAGCAGGGGGUCGCAAGACCCUGUGCUACAAGAGCGGCCGAUGGCAGAUUAGGUAGUUGGUGGGAUAAAAGCUUACCAAGCCGACGAUCUGUAGCUGGUCUGAGAGGACGAUCAGCCACACUGGGACCGAGACACGGCCCAGACUCCUACGGGAGGCAGCAGUGGGGAAUUUUGGACAAUGGGCGAAAGCCUGAUCCAGCAAUGCCGCGUGCAGGAUGAAGGCCUUCGGGUUGUAAACUGCUUUUGUACGGAACGAAAAGCCCCGGGUUAAUACCCUGGGGUCAUGACGGUACCGUAAGAAUAAGCACCGGCUAACUACGUGCCAGCCGCCGCCGUAA
rnacentral:rRNA from 1 species